rnacentral:rRNA from 1 species
GACGAACGCUGGCGGCGUGCCUAAUACAUGCAAGUAGAACGCUGAAGGAGGAGCUUGCUUCUCCGGAUGAGUUGCGAACGGGUGAGUAACGCGUAGGUAACCUGCCUGGUAGCGGGGGAUAACUAUUGGAAACGAUAGCUAAUACCGCAUAAUAGCAGUUAUUGCAUGAUAACUGUUUGAAAGGUGCAAUUGCACCACUACCAGAUGGACCUGCGUUGUAUUAGCUAGUUGGUGGGGUAACGGCUCACCAAGGCGACGAUACAUAGCCGACCUGAGAGGGUGAUCGGCCACACUGGGACUGAGACACGGCCCAGACUCCUACGGGAGGCAGCAGUAGGGAAUCUUCGGCAAUGGACGGAAGUCUGACCGAGCAACGCCGCGUGAGUGAAGAAGGUUUUCGGAUCGUAAAGCUCUGUUGUAAGAGAAGAACGAGUGUGAGAGUGGAAAGUUCACACUGUGACGGUAUCUUACCAGAAAGGGACGGCUAACUACGUGCCAGCAGCCGCGGUAAUACGUAGGUCCCGAGCGUUGUC